rnacentral:rRNA from 1 species
GACGAACGCUGGCGGCGUGCCUAAUACAUGCAAGUCGAGCGCUGAAGGUUGGUACUUGUACCGACUGGAUGAGCAGCGAACGGGUGAGUAACGCGUGGGGAAUCUGCCUUUGAGCGGGGGACAACAUUUGGAAACGAAUGCUAAUACCGCAUAAAAACUUUAAACACAAGUUGUAAGUUUGAAAGAUGCAAUUGCAUCACUCAAAGAUGAUCCCGCGUUGUAUUAGCUAGUUGGUGAGGUAAAGGCUCACCAAGGCGAUGAUACAUAGCCGACCUGAGAGGGUGAACGACCACAUUGGGACUGAGGCACGGCCCAAACUCCCACGGGGGGCCGCAGUAGGGAAUCUUCGGAAAUGGAGGAAAGUCUGACCGAGCACAGCCGGGGGAGUGGAGAAGGUUUUCGGAUCGGAAAACUCUGUUGGUAGAGGAGGAAGUUGGUGAGGGUAGAAAGCUCAUCAAGUGACGGUACCCACAGAGAAAGCAACGGCUAACUACGUG